CCUACGGGAGGCAGCAGUGAGGAAUAUUGGUCAAUGGCCGAGAGGCUGAACCAGCCAAGUCGCGUGAGGGAAGACGGCCCUACGGGUUGUAAACCUCUUUUGUCGGGGAGAAAAGCGAGUCACGUGUGACUCAUUGAGAGUACCCGAAGAAAAAGCAUCGGCUCAGUCCGUGCCAGCAGCCGCGGCAAUACGGAGGAUGCGAGGGUUAGCCGGAUUUAUUGGGUUUAAAGGGAGCGUAGGCCGCAUGUCAAGCGUGCUGUGAAAUGUCCGGGCUCAACCCGGGCCUUGCAGGGCGUACUGGCGUGCUGGAGUCCGCGGAAGGCAGGUGGAAUUCGUGGUGUAGCGGUGAAAUGCUUAGAUAUGACGAAGAACCCCGGUUGCGAAGGCAGCUUGCUGCAGCGGAACUGACGCUGAUGCUCGAAAGCGCGGGUAUCGAACAGGAUUAGAUACCCGUGUAGUC
rnacentral:rRNA from 1 species